rnacentral:sRNA from 1 species
GAGGUAGAGGCUGCCAUGAGCUGUGAUUGUGCCAUUGCACUCCAGCCUGGGUGACAGACUGUCUCAAAAAAAAAAAUCAAUCUAAUUUAUAGAUAUUAAUUACAUAAAAAGAUUAAAGACUUCUGUUGCCUUGACAUGAGUAUUUGGCUAAAGUCUAAAGUGUUCAUUUUUAAAAUAUAUUCUGUAGCUAAAUAUUAACCUUAUUUGUCAUAGUAAUGCUUUUUCCUUUUCUCCCUUAGUGCAACAGGACAUAAAAUAUAUUCCCACAGAAGAUGUUUCAGAUCUACCAGUGGAAGAACAAUUGCGGAGACUACAAGAAGAAAGAACAUGUAAAGUGUGUAUGGACAAAGAAGUGUCCAUAGUGUUUAUUCCUUGUGGUCAUCUAGUAGUAUGCAAAGAUUGUGCUCCUUCUUUAAGAAAGUGUCCUAUUUGUAGGAGUACAAUCAAGGGUACAGUUCGUACAUUUCUUUCAUGAAGAAGAAACAAAACAUUGUCUAAACUUUAGAAUUAAUUUAUUAAAUGUAUUAUAACUUUAACUUUUAUUCUGAUUUGGUUUCCUUAAAAUUUUUAUUUAUUUACAACUCAAAAAAAAUUGUUUUGUGUAACAUAUUUAUAUAUGUAUCUAAACCAUAUGAACAUAUAUUUUUUAGAAACUAAGAGAAG